GGGGGAGUGAAACAUCUAAGGAUGCGGAGGAAAGGAUCUCAGCGGGUAAUCCGCUAGGAGUGGCGAGCGAACGCGGACCAGGCCAGUGGCUUGCAGAAUCAAACCGGAACCGUCUGGAAAGUCGGGCCAUAGUGGGUGAUAGCCCCGUACGGGUAACGGCUCUGCAAGUCCUUGAGUAAGGCGGGACACGUGAAAUCCUGUCUGAACAUGGGGGGACCACCCUCCAAGCCUAAGUACUCGUGCAUGACCGAUAGCGAACUAGUACCGUGAGGGAAAGGUGAAAAGCACCCCGACGAGGGGAGUGAAAUAGUACCUGAAACCGGAUGCCUACAAACAGCUGGAGCCCGCAAGGGUGACAGCGUACCUUUUGUAUAAUGGGUCAGCGACUUAAUCUGGCGAGCAAGCCUAAGCCGAUAGGUGUAAGCGAAGCGAAAGCGAGUCUGAACAGGGCGUUCAGUUCGUCGGAUUAGACCCGAAACCAGUCGAUCUAUCCAUGGCCAGGUUGAAAGCAAGGUAACACUUGCUGGAGGACCGAACCGGUGCCUGUUGAAAAAGUCUCGGAUGAGCUGUGGAUAGGGGUGAAAGGCCAACCAAGGCUGGAAAUAGCUGGUUCUCCGCGAAAUCUAUUUAGGUAGAGCCUCGAGUGAAUACCCCAGGGGGUAGAGCACUGGAUGGGCUAGGGGCCCCCACAGGGUUACCAAACCUAACCAAACUCCGAAUACCUGGGAGUACUACUCGGGAGACACACGGCGGGUGCUAACGUCCGUCGUGGAGAGGGAAAAAACCCUGACCAUCAGCUAAGGUCCUCAAGUCACGGCUAAGUGUGAAAGGAUGUGGAAAUCCCAAAACAACCAGGAGGUUGGCUUAGAAGCAGCCAUCCUUUAAAGAAAGCGUAACAGCUCACUGGUCUAAUUAAGGGUUUCUGCGCCGAAAAUGUAACGGGGCUAAAGCCGUGCACCGAAGCUAUGGGUGCAUCAUCUCUUCGGAGUUGGUGUGCGGUAGCGGAGCGUUCCGUAAGCCUGCGAAGGGUGAUCCGUGAGGACGCCUGGAGGUAUCGGAAGUGCGAAUGCAGACAUGAGUAACGAGAGGAGUGUGAGAAACACUCCCGCCGAAAGUCCAAGGGUUCCUGCGUAAAGCUAAUCUGCGCAGGGUUAGCCGGCCCCUAAGGCGAGGGCGAAAGCCGUAGUCGAUGGGAACCACGUUAAUAUUCGUGGGCCAGUGGGAAGUGACGAACGCCGAAAGUUGUCUGGGCUUAUUGGAUUGUCCAGGCCGCGUAGGAGUUCCAGGAAAUAGCUCCCACAUGAGACCGUACCCUAAACCGACACAGGUGGACUGGUAGAGCAUACCAAGGCGCUUGAGAGAACGAUGCUGAAGGAACUCGGCAAAUUGCACGCGUAACUUCGGAAGAAGCGUGACCUCUUUGCGGGCAACCGUGGAGAGGUGGCACAGACCAGGGGGUAGCGACUGUUUACUAAAAACACAGGGCUCUGCGAAAUCGCAAGAUGACGUAUAGGGUCUGACGCCUGCCCGGUGCCGGAAGGUUAAGAGGAGAGGUGCAAGCUUUGAAUCGAAGCCCCGGUAAACGGCGGCCGUAACUAUAACGGUCCUAAGGUAGCGAAAUUCCUUGUCGGGG
rnacentral:rRNA from 1 species